GGGGUUUUAGUUUAAUAGAAUAGGUGGCUGUUAACCGUUUGGUGUGGGGUGCGACUCACAAACCUCG
rnacentral:tRNA from 1 species